rnacentral:lncRNA from 1 species
AUAUAUAUAUAUAUAUAUAUAUAUAUAUAUAGUGAUUAAGCCUUGGCUGUGAUCUAAGAAAAAAUUUUUAAUAGCAAUAUGAUGAUGUACAUUGUAAUUUAUCCAACUCUGUAAUUUCAAAUGUAUGCUGUGAAUGUGUAGUCGGCUGGUAAAGUACUUGCUGAGCCCUAGCUCCAUCCCCAGCAACACCUACACCAGGUGUCGUACACACGACUAUGAUCCAUGCUCUCUGGAGGUGAUGACAGGAGGAUAUUGAUUUCAAGAUCCUCUUUGUCAAUGGGGAAAGGUCAAGACCCUCUUAGAAUACAAAAGAUCCUGCACAUUCCCACAUCUAAUCCCCAAUUGUGUUUAAAUAAAAUAAUAUCAGCAACAUAGCUCAGUAGAUAAAGGUAAUUACUACCAAGAAUGAAAACAUGAGACACAUCCCUGGGUCCACAUUAGAAGGAGAGAAUCUACUCUCACAAGUUGUCUUCUGAACUCCACGUAUGCAGUGAGAAAGGCAUAUAGUCCCUGUCACACAUGCUCUGUGAAUGGUAGGUCUAGUGUAUCUUAUUUUUAAAAUAUUUUUCUCUAAAAUUGAAUUUAUAUGCUUAAGUAUUCAUAUGUGUGUGUGUGUGUGUGUGUGUCACUUACACACAGUCUUCUAUGUAUCUCAUUUACCACAUAAUAGAUCUUUGAGUUGGCAUUUCAAAAGUGAAAUUGAUAGAGAGAAAUGACUCCCAAAUGUCAGUUCCUCUGACUUUCAGGUAUAUGAUCUAAUAUGCUUUCUCCUUCUCUCUUCCUUUUCCCCUCCUCUUACUUCUUUCUCUCCCUCCUUUUCUUACUCUCUUACACAUACAGUAAUAAAUAGACAAAGAAUGGCAAAUAAAUAAAUACUAUCAGUUUGAGUUGAUGCUCUUCCAGAGGACCUAGGUUUAGUUCCCAGAACCUUCAUGAUACUCACAGCCCUGGCACUUCACUUCUGAAGGAUUCAUUGCCCACUUCUGACCUCCAUGGAUAUCAGGCUUGCACAUGGUGCAUAUACAUACAUGUAGGCAAAAACCACUAAC